rnacentral:rRNA from 1 species
UACGUAUGGUGCAAGCGUUAAUCGGAAUUACUGGGCGUAAAGCGUACGCAGGCGGCUAUGUAAGACAGGUGUGAAAUCCCCGGGCUUAACCUGGGAACUGCAUUUGUGACUGCAUAGCUAGAGUCUGUCAGAGGGGGGUGGAAUUCCACGUGUAGCAGUGAAAUGCGUAGAGAUGUGGAGGAACACCGAUGGCGAAGGCAGCCCCCUGGGAUAAGACUGACGCUCAUGUACGAAAGCGUGGGGAGCAAACAGG